rnacentral:rRNA from 1 species
UACGGAGGGUGCAAGCGUUGUUCGGAAUCAUUGGGCGUAAAGCGCGUGUAGGCGGCCAAAUAAGUCUGGUGUGAAAGCCCGGGGCUCAACCCCGGAAGUGCACUGGAUACUGUUUGGCUAGAGGACGAGAGAGGGAAGUGGAAUUCCUGGUGUAGGGGUGAAAUCCGUAGAUAUCAGGAGGAACAUCGGUGGCGAAGGCGACUUCCUGGCUCGUUUCUGACGCUCAGACGCGAAAGCGUGGGGAGCAAACAGG